CCCAACUCCUCAAGCCCAUCAUCGUCCUCAUCCACAACCCCACGACCCGCCUCGCACCUUCUCCCUCCCGGCCGCCGCGCGCGUCCCAGCACUGGCCGCCGUGCGCCUCCCACCUCCCGGCCGCCGCGCGCCUCCCACCUCCCGGCCGCCGCGCGCCUCCACCUUCUGUCCACUGGCGCGCCUCCACCUCCCGUCCGCCGCCACAGCUCGACCUCCCGACCACCGCGCGCGUCCAUCCUCGACUGUCGGCACGCCUCCACCUCCUACAUGUCGCCAUGGACCUCCAUCCCCGGUGCGCCGGACCCCUCUUCCCCACCGCGCCACCGCCCCCCUCUGCCUCACCGGGUCGCACCGCGUCCCCCCUCCUCCGCCUCACCGCGCCUUCCCCAAGCGCGACGCCGUCGACACAAUUGCAGGGCCAACUUGCCGCUGACCAUGCAAUCUUCCUCAAGGAGCUCGUGUCCAACGAGACUGUAAGGAACAACUACUCGAGUUCUGAACUUCUUACUCAGUAAUGCUAGUAUUGAGGGAAAAUGGGCUGAAAUGCAUUGCAAAUUAUCUCUCCGAGACCCUGGCAAUUAUUCAGUCCACGCCGCCACACAGUCAAACUGCAUCCGCCAUCUCAGUGCGACCUCUUAUACCUUUGCAACCCUGUGUCCCGCCAUCCACCGAGUAGUCCAACCUCAGGGCUAUGUUCUGAGAAAAUCCCCUGAAGCGAAAUUGUUGCCGAUAGCCAUUGACCAUGAAGCUUCUCUGCCCUGCUGCUACUACUACAUGAGGUGAUCGUAGUGCUCAGUUAUUUUCGUGUGAUGCCGCUGCUUUAGCCAACUCUGAAUGCAUAGGUGCCGAGUGUGCUGCAUUAGCCAUUUUUAUUAUUAACACGUACAUCUAGCUUGUCUUGAAGCUUCAUGAUGUGGAAAAAACAUUGGGGAAACUUCAUGUUCUACAUAGAUGGAGUUAUGUUCGGCUGCACUUUGUGUCAUUUAGGUUGUUCUCUAGCUAGUAUCUAACAAAAACGAAUCAGUCACUUGAGCAUUCUAGAAGAAAAAACUGAAGCUGAAAUAUCACUGAUGUUUUGUCUGUGCUUACGUAUGUAGACAUGAUUUGUAUGACAAAGAAGCUCUGCUAAGUUAAAUAGAUUCAGUCGCAUAUAUGUUUGUAUGGAAGUACAAGCAUCGGUCAGGACUUCUUUUACAAUGUUGUUUAUGCUGAGUUCCACUACAAAAAUGUAUACUUUUUCUCUGAAAAAAGUUACUAAUAUAAAGUUUCCCUUCCUGUCUAUUAUAAUCAGUACUGAUGGACAUAUGAGGUCGUGUGGCCACACUUUUUUUGAAGGCGUAUCUCCAUGCAAUCGCACCUUUUUCCCUGGUCCUUUGAGAGGUGACUGAUCUGUUGUCUAUGCUGCUCUUUCAGUAACUGAACUGUUUUCAUGUGGAACUAUUGCAAACCAAACAGGCCCUAAGCUUGGUGCAUAUCACGAAUAAUGGCAGAACUAGGAUAUUGUGCACAUUACAGUGUUGAGAAAGAGAAGUAGCUGGUUGAACACUCCAGCAAAGAAGCGCUGCAGGGGCGGUCGCCGGCGGAGGGCGGAGUGUCGGCAACAACCACCUCUGCCCCAUCCUGCUCCUCCUCAUCGCGUGACCGUCUCCUUGGCCGCCCUGCACCUCGACGUCAAGCACUGCCCUCCCAUGAGAGAUCGAACAGACAAGGCGCUCCUGCCAUAUUCUUCCCGUGGAUCCAGCUCCUGUUCCCCGCCAACAGUAGGAGACAUGAGGUCACCUCUGGCGCUGCUGGUGGCGUGAAGGCCGUCAAAUGGUAAAUUUCCUACCCUUGUAACCUCAGGUACUACUACAAAGCAGAAAGGAUCUAUGUAAGUUAGUUAAUAGCACCAUGAUGUGCCUAUUGUGCUGCAAGACUGCUAGUUCUUCAACUAAAAAUAAAUAUACAUUUCGCUUGUCAUGCUUUCUGGAUGUGGUAUUACAUGAUACAGUCCCAAAAAAGUAUAAAUUUCUUCUAUUGUCAGUUCAAUUUUCUCUAGUAUGUAUGUUCUGAAGAUGAUGAGAGAAUGGUCUGGUGGAGAUGAUGCAUGUUUGUUAGCUUUUUAUCAUGAUAUAUAAAAAGAUGCUGGUAGCUCUAGUACCUAUACUACAACAGCUCAUUGAAAAAAAUCAGUUCAAUACAUACUUGGAAAAAGUUCAAUACUAAGUGUUCUCUGCCUAUCCUUACAUUAGCUAGUCUUCACCAUGUCCAGAUAGUGCCUAGAAUAAGUUAACUCAUGCAUUUCCAUAAAACUAUGUACUGAUAAAUCAGAACUCGUGCAUUUCCAUAAAAUUCUGUAAGUAUCGUGUGUGUGUUGUUACAAAUCUGAAAUAUUUUUCCAAUCAUACUAUUGAUGUAAUCACCUAAAAAUGUUGAAGAAAAACUCUGCAAGUUUGGUGCGUGUGCUGCUACAAAUCUAAACUUCUUCUCCAGUCAUUCUAGUACUGAUGAAGAUCGAGUUGACAGAAAUAAUGUAGUCAAUUCCUGAGACCCUUACUAAUCCUUCUACAUAUAGAAGUUGUGCCUCAUAGCCAUACAUGACUUUUGUCUUUGUUCCCUGCUUGUUUUUGUAAAAUUCUUUGAACUGAUUUAGGUGAUAUAUUUGGACCCUUGCCUCGUCAGUACAACAGCACGCUCCACAGCCGGUCAGGAGAAGAGUUGCAUGCAGGCCACCCUCUGCUCCGUCCUCGAUCCCGCGCAGUCAUCUCCCUCUCAUCCUCUCUCUGCUCCAUGUGUGUGUGUGCAGGGAGUGGAAGAAGAUAGUGCAGGGGAGUGGGAGGUCCUUCCAUGGUGAAUUCAUAGGCAUCUUCCAUGGAGAUUGUGAACUCUCUCGAUUAUUGCUUGAGGAUUUAUGUUGGUCUGUCCACUGUAGUUCCUGUAUACUCUUUUUCUAGUGUUCCUCUUUUGAUGUUGUUGCAGGUGUUUAAUAACCCACUGAUAUGAUUUUGGGAAACAAGCUUCAGUGCAGAGAAGCUUCGGUACGAGAAAAAAUGGGUCAUCACUUCAUCCAUAUGCAACCUCCUGUGUGGUCGUACAUUUUUAUUUGGAGCUACUCGCUGUGUGGUCAUCCAUAUGUGUAUUGUGUUGUCAGGUCGUGUGCAAGUUUGUUACAAGUUCAUUUAUAUGUUGGUAACCACUAUUAUUGCUGCUAGCUAUCGAUUUGAAUGUUGUAUUACUGUAGCCCCUUCGCUGGCUUAAUCUCCUACUAUUUGCUAGCUUGGCAUUGUAAAAACAU